rnacentral:rRNA from 1 species
UACGUAGGGUGCAAGCGUUGUCCGGAAUUAUUGGGCGUAAAGAGCUCGUAGGCGGUCUGUCGCGUCUGCUGUGAAAACUCAGGGCUUAACCCUGAGCUUGCAGUGGGUACGGGCAGACUAGAGUGCGGUAGGGGAGACUGGAAUUCCUGGUGUAGCGGUGAAAUGCGCAGAUAUCAGGAGGAACACCGGUGGCGAAGGCGAGUCCCUGGACAACUCCUGACACUGAGGCACGAAAGCUAGGGGAGCAAACAGG